CCUAUUAGUCAAAUACUAUAUCUAAUGGACUUUAAGGAGGCUACUUGCGACCUUAAUAAGGGUUUUGGCAACUUCAAAGAAAAAAUUUGGAAAUUAGAAGCCAUGGUUAUAAUUUUUUAGGAUUUGAACUAUAAUUUGUAUAUAAAAAUUAGAAGAUUUGGAAUUAGGAUGAAGAAGAUAUAGCCAUUUGAAAUUAAGGUGUUAAUUUAAGACAUUCUAUUACUCUUUUGAGAAUACAAAGAGUUGUACAACAACUUUUGAAGAUCGGAAGGUGUGAUUAGAAGGAAAAUUUUAAAGCCUACAUCUCUCAUGAAUGAAUUAUUAUUUUUAAAUUUUAUAUAAAGGAAUUAUAGGGAAUUGAAGGUAGCCCUUUCAAAUGAAAGGGAAUAA
rnacentral:lncRNA from 1 species